rnacentral:lncRNA from 1 species
CUUAUGUUCGCACGUAUCAGUUUUCUUUUAGUGUUUCUAUUUUUUUAAUUUUGUGUGCAAUGUCUUUGUCUUGUCAUUAUUUCCUGAUUCUUUUUGAAGUUAUUUGUGUUCUGCAAAAGUUAGAUUAAAUUUAUGGAAGAAUUUAUAAUGUUUUGUAAGUCUAAAGUAUGCUUUAAUAUUCUAAAUUUCAGUUUAUUACUUUUUGUGUUUUUAAAUUCAUGUCCUGUCCAUGCCAUACCCC